AAUGGAGCUGGGGCCAUCCUGCCAGGCCUGGCACCAAGCUAUGGCUUGGCCUCCUCUGCUCUCGGCCUAAGCAGUCGCCAAGGCCCCUAGUGUGAAGGAAUUUGAGUUCUAACUUUAGGUGGCUACGUGGCUGAUGGCUGUGUUUGUGAAUAUCUCAUUCCUACUUUGGUUGCCCAGCUGGUGGGAACAGAACGGGUAGUCAUGGGACUGUCAUCAUGUGCUGUCCAGGUUAACAUGUAGCAUUUCUAUUACUAUUAACAGACUUUCUGCUCCUCACUCCAUCUGUUCUCUGAAAUAAUUGCAGUUGUACAGACCAUGCCUUCGCUACAGGCAAGCUCUGGGGAAGAGGAUAGUGCUUUUAUGAGAAAAAAAAAAAGUGUUAAAAAAUAACAGCAAACAUGAGAAGAGAGUGGGAAUGAAGCUAACAGCAGGUUUCCAAUUUCUUUCGGAUUCCGGCCUGCAAAGGUGGCGUUUUCACACUUGUUUGGGGUGACCAAGCCCAGCCAGAUGGGGAUUACCCUAUAAACUGAUCAGGAUUUUCCAGAUCUACUUUAAAACUAGACUCAGUGAAUCAUCAAGACUGAGGGGCCUUUAUCUAAGAAUUUUUGAAAUACACAGACCUCCAUCCUUGGAAGAGCACAGUAGACCCGCUUCUCUCUGUGUCCUCAAAAUGUCACUCUUUCAUCAUCACUGGCCCCUCAGAGAUGCAAGAAGAGACACCAUACUCAAGAGGCAGAUUGGUUUAGCAGGAGAGCAACAGCCUGGGAAGUGCUGGGACCAAGAAUUCUGAUGCCACGUGACAUGAAUCAAUCCCUUCUUCCCUCUGUGCCUCCUUCUCCAGGGUGGAAAAGGUAAAAUGAAGUUAGAAGUUAGGGGCUCCUGCUUUUAAAAACACUGAACCCUGGAUUGGGGAAGGAUCUAGUAACCUUAGUUAAGCUAACAUGGGCAUCCUUGUAACUCCAUCCUGAGAGAUCCUCCCCACCUCAGUCCCCUCAUUUGGCUGUAACCCAGGGGUAACAAAAGUCACCUCACUGUGAUUCUCAGCCCUCUUUCUGGGAGAAGAGAAGGCUAGAAUGGCAGAGAGCCUAGGUUUAUGCCCACCAAAGGCGGAUUUGAGGCAUGGCACCAAACAGAAUAUCCCAACUCCACUCCCUCCUGAGAGGGAGCACAUGGGCCUGGGGGGUCCUAUUCCCUGUCUGUAUCUACCAUGACCCACGAGUGGUCAGCACUGGGUAGUUGCAGAAAGGGGACUUGGUGCAAAUGACACAUAUGACAUAUAGUGUUUGCUCGGCCCUUCCCUUGGGUUCAGACCAAGUAUAGACAGCAUGUACCAGUGACAAUGGAUAGUUGCAAAGGCAAUGUAAUGAAGGGAAUUUUGGGGAACCAGGCCUCAAGAUAGAAGUACAUUGCUUCUAUCCCUGUGAGUGAUGUUCAUCUCUGUUCCCCAUCCCCCAAGCUACUUAUUUUCCCUUACAACGUCCCUUGUCUACAGGGAAGGUGUGUUGGCCCAUCCCUCUAGGGCAGAGAGAAGGGAAGAAGCAAUAUUAGAAGUCUGUUCUAGGGCCAGCUGACAAGCAGGGUUCAGAGCUGGAAGCUGGGGUGUGUAGUGCUACCCUCUCAUGCCCUGGCACACAAGUCUUUAAGGGGCUCUUUUGCUUUGGAGAUCCUGAUCUUUAAAGCAUAUCCUUGGGAAAGAGUCUCCCACCCCAUCUCUCUAGUCCCUUUAAAUCCUGUCUUAAAGUGAGGUCUUUUUUGUGGGCUCUGUUUGGCAGGAACAAAGAACAUUGCUGUGUAGUGAGGGGAUUUCCAUCUCCAAGGGAGAGAAGACCUGGGCUUGGUUCUCUUUUGGACACAAACUAGCUGGAUAACUUUAGGUCUCCUCAUUGGUGAAAGGAAGGGUUGGAUGGGGUGACAGGCUAGGUCCUCCACUUAUCUCAGGGUUCGUUUUGUGUAAGUGCAAGUGCAGCCCCAGGCUGCAUGUCGGUGGGUAGGAAGGCAACCCCAGCCCCUGACCCCUUCCCGUGGGUGGGGGGGUCACCUGCCACCUGUUCCACUAUUGUUCUAACACGUGGUGCCCCAGAACACCAUCAGGGAACACUGUCAGUGGAGAAACCAGAGGAAGGCCUGCGUUCCACGUGGAGGAACUCAGGGCCACCCUGGGGACCUGCCUGGUGCCUCCCCCAGACCCUGAAGUAUGCCAGGAGAGAUGCCUGGGUCUAAGGUGGCUGCUGGAGAGAGACCGGGUUCUGAGCCUCCCAUUCUCAGCAGGGAUAAUUGCUGAACUCUGCCAGCCAAACACCUCGAAAGAGCUAAAAUGACUUUAAAUGCCUAAACAUUUAAAAACAAACCUUACAACACAGGCUUUUAUUUUUUUUUUUUUUAGCCCAGUGCUAAAGCUCUUUCUCUGUCUCUCUCUGUGUCGCUUUCUCUUUUGGGGGGAAUUCAAAAGCCGUUUUAUGCCUCAUUACCUGCACACUGUGAGUGAUGUCUGUCGGUCCAUGUGCUGUAAAUACCUUAAAUCAUGCUUCAUUAAGAAUAUCUAUGGUGCUAUUAAAGAGCUAUAAUAGACAACGAGUUAACAGAUGAUUAAAGAUGAAUUCCAUUUGUGUCAGUCACCAGCCAGAGAGAGACGAGGGGCUGUAAGUUCUCAAUUCAUUAUCCAAGGGAGUGAAGCUCUCUCGGUGCCCCAUCCUGGA